rnacentral:rRNA from 1 species
UGGGGAAUUUGCAUGGGACAAAUGGGCCGAAAGCCUGAUCCAAGCAUGCCGCGUGUGUGAAGAAGGCCUUCGGGUUGUAAAGCACUUUUGUCCGGAAAGAAAUCCUUGGCUCUAAUACAGUCGGGGGAUGACGGUACCGGAAGAAUAAGCACCGGCUAACUACGUGCCAGCAGCCGCGGUAAUACGUAGGGUGCAAGCGUUAAUCGGAAUUACUGGGCGUAAAGCGUGCGCAGGCGGUUUGCUAAGACCGAUGUGAAAUCCCCGGGCUCAACCUGGGAACUGCAUUGGUGACUGGCAGGCUAGAGUAUGGCAGAGGGGGGUAGAAUUCCACGUGUAGCAGUGAAAUGCGUAGAGAUGUGGAGGAAUACCGAUGGCGAAGGCAGCCCCCUGGGCCAAUACUGACGCUCAUGCACGAAAGCGUGGGGAGCAAACAGGAUUAGAUACCCUGGUAGUCCACGCCCUAAACGAUGUCAACUAGUUGUUGGGGAUUCAUUUCCUUAGUAACGUAGCUAACGCGUGAAGUUGACCGCCUGGGGAGUACGGUCGCAAGAUU